rnacentral:rRNA from 1 species
GUGCCAGCAGCCGCGGUAAUACAGAGGUCCCAAGCGUUGUUCGGAUUCAUUGGGCGUAAAGGGUGCGUAGGUGGCGUCGUAAGUCGGGUGUGAAAUUUCGGAGCUCAACUCCGAAACUGCAUUCGAUACUGCGGUGCUUGAGGACUGGAGAGGAGACUGGAAUUUACGGUGUAGCAGUGAAAUGCGUAGAGAUCGUAAGGAAGACCAGUGGCGAAGGCGGGUCUCUGGACAGUUCCUGACACUGAGGCACGAAGGCCAGGGGAGCAAACGGGAUUAGAUACCCCUGUAGUCC